CUUAGCUUGGCAGAUUUUAAUGCGAUUGGUUUAGGACCAAUUUAUAGUAUAAGUUACUAGCUAAUU
rnacentral:tRNA from 1 species